GACGAACGCUGGCGGCGUGCUUAACACAUGCAAGUCGAACGGAAAGGCCCUGCUUUUGUGGGGUGCUCGAGUGGCGAACGGGUGAGUAACACGUGAGUAACCUGCCCUUGACUUUGGGAUAACUUCAGGAAACUGGGGCUAAUACCGGAUAGGAGCUCCUGCUGCAUGGUGGGGGUUGGAAAGUUUCGGCGGUUGGGGAUGGACUCGCGGCUUAUCAGCUUGUUGGUGGGGUAGUGGCUUACCAAGGCUUUGACGGGUAGCCGGCCUGAGAGGGUGACCGGCCACAUUGGGACUGAGAUACGGCCCAGACUCCUACGGGAGGCAGCAGUGGGGAAUAUUGCACAAUGGGCGGAAGCCUGAUGCAGCAACGCCGCGUGCGGGAUGACGGCCUUCGGGUUGUAAACCGCUUUCGCCUGUGACGAAGCGUGAGUGACGGUAAUGGGUAAAGAAGCACCGGCUAACUACGUGCCAGCAGCCGCGGUGAUACGUAGGGUGCGAGCGUUGUCCGGAUUUAUUGGGCGUAAAGGGCUCGUAGGUGGUUGAUCGCGUCGGAAGUGUAAUCUUGGGGCUUAACCCUGAGCGUGCUUUCGAUACGGGUUGACUUGAGGAAGGUAGGGGAGAAUGGAAUUCCUGGUGGAGCGGUGGAAUGCGCAGAUAUCAGGAGGAACACCAGUGGCGAAGGCGGUUCUCUGGGCCCUUUCCUGACGCUGAGGAGCGAAAGCGUGGGGAGCGAACAGGCUUAGAUACCCUGGUAGUCCACGCUGUAAACGGUGGGUACUAGGUGUGGGGUCCAUUCCACGGGUUCCGUGCCGUAGCUAACGCUUUAAGUACCCCGCCUGGGGAGUACGGCCGCAAGGCUAAAACUCAAAGGAAUUGACGGGGCCCCGCACAAGCGGCGGAGCAUGCGGAUUAAUUCGAUGCAACGCGUAGAACCUUACCUGGGUUUGACAUGGAUCGGGAGUGCUCAGAGAUGGGUGUGCCUCUUUUGGGGUCGGUUCACAGGUGGUGCAUGCCUGUCGUCAGCUCGUGUCGUGAGAUGUUGGGUUAAGUCCCGCAACGAGCGCAACCCUUGUUCACUGUUGCCAGCACGUUAUGGUGGGGACUCAGUGGAGACCGCCGGGGUCAACUCGGAGGAAGGUGGGGAUGACGUCAAGUCAUCAUGCCCCUUAUGUCCAGGGCUUCACGCAUGCUACAAUGGCUGGUACAGAGAGUGGCGAGCCUGUGAGGGUGAGCGAAUCUCGGAAAGCCGGUCUCAGUUCGGAUUGGGGUCUGCAACUCGACCUCAUGAAGUCGGAGUCGCUAGUAAUCGCAGAUCAGCAACGCUGCGGUGAAUACGUUCCCGGGGCU
rnacentral:rRNA from 1 species